rnacentral:tRNA from 1 species
GUGAGUAUAGCUCAGUGGUAGAACACAUGCUUAGCAUGCAUGAGGUCCUGGGUUCAAUCCCCAGUACCUCCA